rnacentral:rRNA from 1 species
GACAGAGGGUGCAAACGUUGCUCGGAAUUACUGGGCGUAAAGCGCGUGUAGGUGGACCGGCAAGUCAGACGUGAAAGCCCUGGGCUCAACCCAGGAAUUGCAUUUGAAACUGCUGGUCUUGAGUGGCGGAGAGGAUCGUGGAAUUCCUGGUGUAGAGGUGAAAUUCGUAGAUAUCAGGAGGAACACCGGUGGCGAAGGCGGCGAUCUGGACGCUUACUGACACUGAGACGCGAAAGCGUGGGGAGCAAACAGG